GUGCUCACUUCAGCAUAUAUACUAAAAUUGAAACCAUACAGACAAAGUUAUCAUGGCCCCUGAGCAGAGGAAAGUCACAAAUUUUCUAUUAGCAUUGCUGAGUUUU